rnacentral:rRNA from 1 species
GACGAACCGAGCGAACGUUGUUCGGAAUCACUGGGCUUAAAGGGCGCGUAGGCGGGCGAUCAAGUCGGUGGUGAAAUCCUACAGCUUAACUGUAGAACUGCCUCCGAUACUGGUUGUCUCGAGGAAGGUAGGGGCGUGCGGAACAGUUGGUGGAGCGGUGAAAUGCGUUGAUAUCAACUGGAACUCCGGUGGCGAAGGCGGCACGCUGGACCUUUUCUGACGCUGAGGCGCGAAAGCCAGGGGAGCAAACGGGAUUAGAAACCCUCGUAGUCC